ACAUACGACCAUAGGGUGUGGAAAACAGGGCUUCCCGUCCGCUCAGCCGUACUUAAGCCACACGCCGGGAGGUUAGUAGUUGGGUGGGUGACCACCAGCGAAUCCCUCCUGUUGUAUGUU
rfam:Aspergillus oryzae strain BCC7051 OAory_C09, whole genome shotgun sequence.